UACGAAGGGGGCUAGCGUUGCUCGGAAUCACUGGGCGUAAAGCGCACGUAGGCGGAUCUUUAAGUCGGGGGUGAAAUCCCAAGGCUCAACCUUGGAACUGCCUUUGAUACUGGGGAUCUCGAGUCCGGAAGAGGUGAGUGGAACUGCGAGUGUAGAGGUGAAAUUCGUAGAUAUUCGCAAGAACACCAGUGGCGAAGGCGGCUCACUGGUCCGGUACUGACGCUGAGGUGCGAAAGCGUGGGGAGCAAACAGG
rnacentral:rRNA from 1 species